rnacentral:rRNA from 1 species
UACAGAGGUCUCAAGCGUUGUUCGGAAUUCAUUGGGCGUAAAGGGUGCGUAGGCGGCGCGGUAAGUCGGGUGUGAAAUCUCGGAGCUUAACUCCGAAACUGCAUUCGAUACUGCCGUGCUUGAGGACUGGAGAGGAGACUGGAAUUUACGGUGUAGCGGUGAAAUGCGUAGAUAUCGUAAGGAAGACCAGUGGCGAAGGCGGGUCUCUGGACAGUUCCUGACGCUGAGGCACGAAGGUCAGGGGAGCAAACGGG